rnacentral:rRNA from 1 species
CCUACGGGCGGCAGCAGUGGGGAAUAUUGCACAAUGGGGGAAACCCUGAUGCAGCGACGCCGCGUGAGUGAAGAAGUAUUUCGGUACGUAAAGCUCUAUCAGCAGGGAAGAAAAUGACGGUACCUGACCAAGAAGCCCCGGCUAACUACGUGACAGCAGCCGCGGUAAUACGUAGGGGGCAAGCGUUAUCCGGAUUUACUGGGGGUAAAGGGAGCGUAGACGGCAGCGCAAGUCUGGAGUGAAAUGCCGGGGCUCAACCCCGGAAGUGCAUUGGAAACUGUGCAGCUGGAGUGCAGGAGAGGUAAGCGGAAUUCCUAGUGUAGCGGUGAAAUGCGUAGAGAUUAGGAGGAACACCAGUGGCGAAGGCGGCUUACUGGACUGUAACUGACGUUGAGGCUCGAAAGCGUGGGGAGCAAACAGGAUUAGAUACCCCAGUAGUC